CCUGGUCUUGACAUCUCCUGACUUUCUAAGAGGGGCGUCCCCUUCGGGGGACAGGAUGACAGGUGGUGCAUGGUUGUCGUCAUCUCGUGUCGAGAGAUGUUGGGUUAAGUCCCGCAACGAGCGCAACCCUUGAUCUUAUUUGCCAGCAUUCAAUUGGAAACUCUAAGAUGACUGCCGGUGACAAACCGAAGAAAGGUGGGAAUAACUUCAAAUCAUCAUGCCCCUUAUGACCUGGCUACACCACUGCUACCAAUGGAUGGUACAAAGGGCUGCACAACCGGAUGGUUAGCUAAAUCCCAAAAAACCAUUCUCAUCUCGAAUUGAAUGCUGCACUUCACCUGCAUGAAUCCGAAAUCCCUAUAAAUCGCGAAUCAACAUGCCGCGUUAAAUACUUCCCCCGGCCCUUGUACACACC
rnacentral:rRNA from 1 species